AACGAACGCUGGCGGCAUGCCUAACACAUGCAAGUCGAACGAGACCUUCGGGUCUAGUGGCGGACGGGUGAGUAACGCGUGGGAACCUGCACUUCAGUGGGGGAUAACGACGGGAAACUGUCGCUAAUACCGCAUACGCCCUACGGGGGAAAGAUUUAUCGCUGAAGGAUGGGCCCGCGUCGGAUUAGCUAGUUGGUGAGGUAAUGGCUCACCAAGGCGACGAUCCGUAGCUGGUCUAAGAGGAUGAUCAGCCACACUGGGACUGAGACACGGCCCAGGCUCCUACGGGAGGCAGCAGUGGGGAAUAUUGGACAAUGGGGGAAACCCUGAUCCAGCAAUGCCGCGUGAGUGAUGAAGGCCUUAGGGUUGUAAAGCUCUUUCGGUGGUGACGAUGAUGACGGUAACCACAGAAGAAGCCCCGGCUAACUUCGUGCCAGCCGCCGCAGUAACAC
rnacentral:rRNA from 1 species